GAUGAGAACGUAGCGAAAUGCGAUAAGUAAUGUGAAUUGCAGAAUUCAGUGAAUCAUCGAAUCUUUGAACGCACAUUGCGCCCCUUGGUAUUCCGAGGGGCAUGCCUGUUCGAGCGUCAUUAUAACCCCUUAAGCUCAGCUUGGUGUUGGGGCCUGCUGCACUGGCAGCCCUUAAAAUCAGUGGCGGCGCCAUCUGGCUCUAAGCGUAGUAAUUCUUCUCGCUAUGGAGUCCUGGUGGAUGCUUGCCAUCAACCCCCAAUUUUUCUAUGGUUGACCUCGGAUCAGGUAGGGAUACCCGCUGAACUUAAGCAUAUCAAUAAGCGGAGGA
rnacentral:misc_RNA from 1 species